GAUGAACGCUGGCGGCGUGCCUAACACAUGCAAGUCGAGCGAUUCUCUUCGGAGAAGAGCGGCGGACGGGUGAGUAACGCGUGGGUAACCUGCCCUGUACACACGGAUAACAUACCGAAAGGUAUGCUAAUACGAGAUAAUAUGCUUUUAUCGCAUGGUAGAAGUAUCAAAGCUUUUGCGGUACAGGAUGGACCCGCGUCUGAUUAGCUAGUUGGUAAGGUAACGGCUUACCAAGGCGACGAUCAGUAGCCGACCUGAGAGGGUGAUCGGCCACAUUGGAACUGAGGCACGGUCCAAACUCCUACGGGAGGCAGCAGUGGGGAAUAUUGCACAAUGGGCGAAAGCCUGAUGCAGCAACGCCGCGUGAGCGAUGAAGGCCUUCGGGUCGUAAAGUUCUGUCCUCAAGGAAGAUAAUGACGGUACUUGAGGAGGAAGCCCCGGCUAACUACGUG
rnacentral:rRNA from 1 species